rnacentral:rRNA from 1 species
AUUGAACGCUGGCGGCAUGCCUUACACAUGCAAGUCGAACGGUAACAGGUCUUCGGAUGCUGACGAGUGGCGAACGGGUGAGUAAUACAUCGGAACGUGCCCGAUCGUGGGGGAUAACGAGGCGAAAGCUUUGCUAAUACCGCAUACGAUCUACGGAUGAAAGCGGGGGAUCUUCGGACCUCGCGCGGACGGAGCGGCCGAUGGCAGAUUAGGUAGUUGGUGGGAAAAAAGCUUACCAAGCCGACGAUCUGUAGCUGGUCUGAGAGGAUGAUCAGCCACACUGGGACUGAGACACGGCCCAGACUCCUACGGGAGGCAGCAGUGGGGAAUUUUGGACAAUGGGCGAAAGCCUGAUCCAGCCAUGCCGCGUGCAGGAUGAAGGCCUUCGGGUUGUAAACUGCUUUUGUACGGAACGAAAAGCCUCUUUCUAAUAAAGAGGGGUCAUGACGGUACCGUAAGAAUAAGCACCGGCUAACUACGUG